AGUGAACGCUGGCGGUAGGCCUAACACAUGCAAGUCGAACGGCAGCACAGUAAGAGCUUGCUCUUACGGGUGGCGAGUGGCGGACGGGUGAGGAAUACAUCGGAAUCUACUUUUUCGUGGGGGAUAACGUAGGGAAACUUACGCUAAUACCGCAUACGACCUACGGGUGAAAGCAGGGGAUCUUCGGACCUUGCGCGAUUGAAUGAGCCGAUGUCGGAUUAGCUAGUUGGCGGGGUAAAGGCCCACCAAGGCGACGAUCCGUAGCUGGUCUGAGAGGAUGAUCAGCCACACUGGAACUGAGACACGGUCCAGACUCCUACGGGAGGCAGCAGUGGGGAAUUUUGGACAAUGGGCGCAAGCCUGAUCCAGCCAUACCGCGUGGGUGAAGAAGGCCUUCGGGUUGUAAAGCCCUUUUGUUGGGAAAGAAAAGCAGCAGGUUAAUACCCCGCUGUUCUGACGUUACCCAAAGAAUAAGCACCGGCUAACUUCGUG
rnacentral:rRNA from 1 species